GUGUUCAGGUUUAAAUCGUUACUUUUAUAAAUCCGAUCAUCCAAGUUAAGCAAUGCCGGGUCUGGUCAGUACUUGGGCGGGUGACCACUUGGGAGCACCCUGUGUUGUAGACU